GAUGAACGCUAGCGGCAGGCCUAAUACAUGCAAGUCGAACGAGAUUACGAGGCUUGCUUCUUAUGAAAGUGGCGCACGGGUGCGUAACGCGUAUGCAACCUACCUUAAUCAGGGGGAUAGCCCGAAGAAAUUCGGAUUAAGACCGCAUAAAAACACAGGAUAGCAUUAUCCAAUGUUCAAAUAUUUAUAUGAUUAAGAUGGUCAUGCGUGUCAUUAGCUAGUUGGCGGGGUAACGGCCCACCAAGGCGACGAUGACUAGCGGACCUGAGAGGGUGACCGGCCACACGGGAACUAGGACAAGGGACCGACGCCGACGGGAGGAAACAGCAUGGACUCUACCGCAAGAGGCGAAAGCCUGACGGAAAAACGCCGUGUAAGGUAUAAAGGCCGUCGGAUCGGAAAACUAUGUUAGUAGGGAAGAACAAAGGUGUAAGUAACUGUGAGCAGCUGGACGGUACCGAAUCAGAAAGCCACGGCUAACUACGUG
rnacentral:rRNA from 1 species